UACGUAGGGUGCGAGCGUUAAUCGGAAUUACUGGGCGUAAAGCGUGCGUAGGCGGUUCGCUGUGUCCGAUGUGAAAGCCCCGGGCUUAACCUGGGAAUGGCAUUGAAACUGGCGGGCUUGAGUGCGGCAGAGGGGGUGGAAGUUCCGCGUGUAGCAGUGAAAUGCGUAGAGAUGCGGAGGAACACCGAUGGCGAAGGCAGCCCCCCUGGGUCGACACUGACGCUCAGGCACGAAAGCGUGGGGGGGAGCAAACAGG
rnacentral:rRNA from 1 species